rnacentral:misc_RNA from 1 species
ACGUAUCUCCGAGUCCGGCGGUCGGCCUUGCCGCGCCCCGGCUCGAAACCACAAACCACCGUGCUCCUUUACGGCCCGGGUUUGCCGACGCGAGUCGCGCGAUCCGAAGCCGCAUACAAAACAGACUCCAGUUCAAAAGAAUGUUAAGCGGACUCCGAUCCGCCCAUUAACUGAAA